CCUACGGGUGGCAGCAGUGGGGAAUAUUGGACAAUGGGGGCAACCCUGAUCCAGCCAUGCCGCGUGUGGGAAGAAGGCCCUCGGGUUGUAAAGCACUUUCAGUGGGGAAGAACGCCUGGUGGUUAAUACCCAUCAGGAAAGACAUCACUCACAGAAGAAGCACCGGCUAACUCCGUGCCAGCAGCCGCGGUAAUACGGAGGGUGCGAGCGUUAAUCGGAAUUACUGGGCGUAAAGCGCGCGUAGGUGGCUUGAUAAGCCGGUUGUGAAAGCCCCGGGCUCAACCUGGGAACGGCAUCCGGAACUGUCAAGCUAGAGUGCAGGAGAGGAAGGUGGAAUUCCCGGUGUAGCGGUGAAAUGCGUAGAGAUCGGGAGGAAUACCAGUGGCGAAGGCGGCCUUCUGGACUGACACUGACACUGAGGUGCGAAAGCGUGGGUAGCAAACAGGAUUAGAUACCCUAGUAGUC
rnacentral:rRNA from 1 species